AUUUGACCUCAAAUCAGGUAGGAUACCCGCUGAA
rnacentral:rRNA from 1 species